GCUGGGGUAGCUCAGUCAAUAGAGCAAGAGACUUAUUCUCAGGGUUGUGGGUUCGAGCCCCACACUGGGCA